UACGAAGGGUGCAAGCGUUAAUCGGAAUUACUGGGCGUAAAGGGUGCGUAGGCGGUUCGUUAAGUCUGUCGUGAAAUCCCCGGGCUCGACCUGGGAAUGGCGAUGGAUACUGGCGAGCUAGAGUGUGUCAGAGGAUGGUGGAAUUCCCGGUGUAGCGGUGAAAUGCGUAGAGAUCGGGAGGAACAUCAGUGGCGAAGGCGGCCAUCUGGGACAACACUGACGCUGAAGCACGAAAGCGUGGGGAGCAAACAGG
rnacentral:rRNA from 1 species